ACGAACGCUGGCGGCGCGCCUAACACAUGCAAGUCGAACGAGCGAGAGGGAGCUUGCUUUCUCGAGCGAGUGGCGAACGGGUGAGUAACGCGUGAGGAACCUGCCUCAAAGAGGGGGACAACAGUUGGAAACGACUGCUAAUACCGCAUAAGCCCACGACCCGGCAUCGGGUUGAGGGAAAAGGAGCGAUCCGCUUUGAGAUGGCCUCGCGUCCGAUUAGCUAGUUGGUGAGGUAACGGCCCACCAAGGCGACGAUCGGUAGCCGGACUGAGAGGUUGAACGGCGACAUUGGGACUGAGAAACGGCCCAGACUCCUACGGGAGGCAGCAGUGGGGAAUAUUGCACAAUGGGGGAAACCCUGAUGCAGCGACGCCGCGUGGAGGAAGAAGGUCUUCGGAUUGUAAACUCCUGUUGUUGAGGAAGAUAAUGACGGUACUCAACAAGGAAGUGACGGCUAACUACGUGCCAGCCGCCGCCGUAAUAC
rnacentral:rRNA from 1 species